ACGAACGCUGGCGGCGUGCUUAACACAUGCAAGUCGAACGGGUCUGCCCUGUUUUUUGCGGGGUGGGUCAGUGGCGAACGGGUGAGUAACACGUGAGUAACCUGCCCCUCACUUCUGGAUAACCGCUUGAAAGGGUGGCUAAUACGGGGUGUUCUGGCUGUGCCGCAUGGUGUGGCUGGGAAAGAUUCACUUUUGUGGUGUUUUGGUGGGGGAUGGGCUCGCGGCCUAUCAGCUUGUUGGUGGGGUGAUGGCCUGCCAAGGCUUUGACGGGUAGCCGGCCUGAGAGGGUGGGCGGUCACACUGGGACUGAGAUACGGCCCAGACUGCUGCGGGAGGCAGCAGUGGGGGGUAUUGCACAAUGGGCGGAAGCCUGAUGCAGCGACGUCGCGUGAGGGAUGGAGGCCUUCGGGUUGUGAACCUCUUUCGCCGGUGAAGAAGGUCCUGCUCUUUGUGGUGGGGUUGACGGUAGCCGGGUUAUGAAGCGCCGGCUAACUACGUG
rnacentral:rRNA from 1 species